AAGAAGAUCGUCAAUGAAGGACUCUUA
rnacentral:snRNA from 1 species